AUUGAACGCUGGCGGCAGGCCUAACACAUGCAAGUCGAACGAGUGGCGGACGGGUGAGUAAUGUUUGGGAAACUGCCUGAUGGAGGGGGAUAACUACGGGAAACUGUAGCUAAUACCGCAUACCAUCAGAUGUGCCCAAGUGGGAUUAGUUAGUUGGUGGGGUAACGGCUCACCAAGGCGACGAUCCCUAGCUGGUCUGAGAGGAUGACCAGCCACACUGGAACUGAGACACGGCCCAGACUCCUACGGGAGGCAGCAGUGGGGAAUAUUGCGCAAUGGGGGCAACCCUGAUGCAGCCAUGCCGCGUGAAUGAAGAAGGCCUUCGGGUUGUAAAGUUCUUUCGGUAGGGAGGCGUUAACUGCAGAAGAAGCACCGGCUAACUCCGUGCCAGCAGCCGCGGUAAUUC
rnacentral:rRNA from 1 species